GAUGACGUUUAUGCUGACUGGACUUUUCUGAUGCUCAAUGAGUGAAGGAUGGCCUCUCUGCUUUGCAGUACCUACGCAUAGCGGUUCUGAACUCAGAAAUUUUAGAAAUGCUGCUGCCAUUGCAGCUCUUCAAGAUGAAGCUCAGCUCACCCUGAACAGCUACAUUCAUACUAGGUAUCCCACACAACCCUGUCGUUUUGGAAAGCUCUUGUUGCUUUUGCCAGCUUUACGUUCCAUUAGCCCUUCUACGAUAGAAGAAGUCUUUUUCAAAAAAACCAUCGGGAAUGUGCCAAUUACAAGACUGCUUUCAGAUAUGUAUAAAUCCAGUGACAUAUAGACAAACUUGGGGGAAGCAUAAAAGAAAAAAGGAUUGGGAUGGCCAUUCUGGAGGAACUUUUUAAUCAGCAGAGAACAAGCUUUAGCUCACCCAGCGUACAAGGAGCUGAAACUGGAAGCGUUUAACCUAUUGACAAUAUAAACCCAGUAAGGCACAAAUCUGUGAUUUUGGACAAAGCAACUUAAGACUUUGGAAGAAAUACUGUGCUCCACAAAUGGCCGUGGUCUGAACUUGGCAGCCGCUUCUCCUGUAGCAAUUUGGUGGAGCUAAUUCAGUUGUCAUUCAUAGUUAACAAAGGCUGUGCUAGUCUGCUGUUUAGCUGGCAGAUAUGAUGGGAUGAAGAAAGUACAUUAGGGUUUGUUUGUUUGUUUGUUUUCAUACUUUGAAAAAUUGGGUAACCAAACGUUGUUCUGUUGUAAUGUGUCAUGAGGUGGCCUUCAGAAAUGUAUUUUUUUUCUUUUAAUGUUGUUUGCUGAAUUCUUUUUAUAUGAGAGUUGACACUGAAUACCAGGUUAUCCAAAUAUUUACUUCAAUUGUAAAAUAUAAUAAGUGCCCUUGGAUUUUAAAAAAGUGGUUAUUUUGGCAAAUACAUUUUAGAUUCAAUAGGCCAAGUCUCCUUUUUUUUUUAAAAAAAAAAAGGUGGACUUAUGCCUAAGUCUUGCGAACAUUUCAAUUCCGUUUGACAUCUCAGACAGAAGAGCUUUAAAAAACAAUUUUUUAAAAAAAUGCACAUUAAAUGAAGACUGAACAGCAAAACCAAAUAAGAAGCAGACAGGAUUGAUAUAGUAGAACUGAUUGCUGUCCCACAGGCAUAGUGCUGAAACCAAAGGCAACGGUGGCCAAACUCUUUGUCAAUGAGAUGUAUAAGAAGGUACCUAACUUACAGUAAAAAGUCUGAAACACUCUAAGCAAGAUGGAAAGGAUGGUUGAUCAAUACAACCCUAAUGGUCUUUGAGAUUCUAGUGGCUUUUUAGAAAAUUCCAGAUUUCAAUAAAAGCCUUGCUCUCUUGAAUACCUUCCCGUCCACCCCACAAAAAUAUGUAUUAUAAGCUGCUUAAUUUGGUGAGAAUAUACUUAUGGAAAACUUAGGAAAAAUUAAAAAAUAACUACUGUACUUUUUAAGUUUUUAUUUUAGAAACUAGCACUGAAGAAGGAGAAAGCACUUGGAAGUAUCAUAGAAUGAGUAAAACUUCUCUUGUACAAAAGUGGAUUAACUGAUUUGUGAAGUUAAGGUUGUACUCAUUGUAUUUACAAAGAAUAAAAAAUAUAUUACAUUUAAAAUGCUAUGAGUUUUGAUUAACUAUUACUACCCACCAAUGCUGUCAGUGCCUAGCAAUGUAAGUCCUUCAAACAAAACAUAACAUGACCACUUACAGCUCUUUAAUCUCCUAAAAAGCAUGCUAAAAUGUGUGCACAAAUGGUUUUUCAAACCAGGAUUCUGCACUACAGUAACUUGCAACAACUCUUUUAUCCAAAGGAAAGGCCUUCCAUUUAGAAUCCAGCGAGACCUCCUUGUUCCCUCUCAAACUGGUGGACAAUCAGUUAAUCAAAUAAGAGAAACUUUGGAUAAAAAUUGGCUCUGAAUUAACUUUGCUGAUGUUCUGCCAGAAUCAACCUGAGUGAGAAUUUUAUCCCACCUGAUAAACCUGACUUCCUAAUGUUUCCUAUAUAUGCAGUUCAAUUCUCUCCCAGCUGCAAAUAUGGAAACCUUCUGUGUGCAGUAACCCAUUUUAUAGGAUAAAGAUGCAAGAAAUCCAAAGUGGUAGAAAUAGUGUUCCACACUUGCGUCCAAGGUUUUAAGGCUUCUAUUCUUGAACAUACUAGAGUAGUAUUUGUUGCAAGACCAGAGUAAGGAAAAAGGAGCAACCUCAUGAAAGAGCAUCUUAGGUACAUGUAAGAGUUCUCUGAAUCCUAGAGUCAGAGAAGAAAAUUCAGUGUGCCACUUUCCCACAAUUUCCAUCAGGAAGGCCAUUGCUCAGUAGCUUGCCAACUUUGAGCUCCAGAAGAUCCAGCUGAAACUCUGUCAAUCUCUUCAGUUCAAUGU